UACAAAAACAGGGCAGGACCCUGGACAUAACACCACUAGGAAAGUUCUAAAGCAGCAGAUGCUAAGAUUAUUCAAAAGUCAAAAACAAAACCCAGUGUUCAUAGUAACUUUUAUCAACCACCUCAGCAUAUCCAUGCCCUUAUGAUAAACAGAUAACCUAGGAGCUCCCCUUCCAAAAGUAGUCAGUUUUCAGCAUUCCACUCCCUUGGAAUCCAUUGCUCAACAAGACUUCCAACUUCAUAUAUUAGUUGCCGUAAAUAUGCCAGCAAUCUUUCUAUGUGUCAGUUUGAGCCUGGAGUGUAUUGUGCCAAGUCCUGGAUUAGCCCUGCACAAUCAGAAUAAAUAUGAUCAGUAGUAAUCUUUAACAGUUUAGCUUGAUCCACGCAAUCUUCAUGGCUAAAGCUUCAGCAAGCAAGGCAGAUUCCUCCCUUAAUCUACAGAAAGCUUUAAGUAAUUUUUAAAUUUGUGCCAGCCAGAAUCUAGGCUGAGGGAUAUAAAGGCAACUGUAUGAUUUUAUAAUGGUAACAUCUAGGCCUUUUCUUGCAGGGAUUGCUAUCUCACAGCUGGCUUGCACUGCAUCUUGCCAUGCUGUGCCCCUCCUGCAUUUCUCUCGUCAAAAGAUUUAAUGAGCCAGAGCCCAACUUGAACUUGUUUAGUUCAAGUCUAGCUUAAGUUUGAUUCCAGUGGGCUUGGCUUGUUUUGUUCAAGCAUAGCUCUAGUUUGAUACCAGAGGACUUGCUGACAAUAUGCCAAGCUGAGUGAGUCCUGGAGGAUGGUUUUCCUUAAAGACAUAAUUCCUGCGGCUACUAACACUGUGAACACGAAGUUCAUCAUUUUAGACAAGGGUAACAAAAGCCAAGAGGGAAAGGAGACAACAUGCGUGGCACUAGUUGCUGAUGAGACUGCUUCAGUUUACUUCCAGAUGUGGGGUGGUGAGUGUGAGGCUUUUGAGCCUGGAGACAUUGUUCAGUUGACUAACGGUAUAUUCUCAUACCACAAGAACAAUCUUCUUCUAAGGGCAGGCAAAAGGGGCAGUGUAGAGAAGGUCGGUGAGUUUACCAUGAUGUUUGUUGAAACUCCAAACUUAAGUGAGAUUCGGUGGGCUCGUGAUGCCAACAACCCAAAGAAUUUUGUACAGGAAGGAGUAAUUUCAGUGCACUCACGAAUCUUCUCACCAUUGACAUAGUGCAUGAAGUACUGCUUAUUUCCAUGAUUUAGUUAGCCAGAGAGGGAUUCAGCUUGUUCAAUAGAUUUCUGAGGCUGGCGAUCAUCUUCUGAUCAGGCUAAGUUAAGGAGCCAAAGCUACAACAUCUGGUGCGUAUCCAGUUUAGUGUCUGGAGUUGCUGGAGUUGUUGAAUGGGUUCCUCCUUUCUCUGAAUUUUUCUUGUUUAUUUAUUGUGCUUCGAUUCAACUUUGGUUUGGAGAUGUUAUCCAACUGGAGUAUCGUUUGGUUUUCCUCAAGUCUGUAUGUCUCACAAGGUAGAGCAUUUUCCAACAUAACCUUAUGUCUAUGUCAAAACAAUUUGUCAAAGUAUAUACCUCUCAAACUUACUGUGGUCAUUUAUUUUA